AUAUUGGACAAUGGGCGAAGGCCGGAUCCACCUAUGCCGCGUGUGUGACGUUGGUCUUCGGAUUGUAAAGCACUUUAUGUUGGGAGGAAGGGGUUGAAGCAAAAACCUCCAAUCUUUGCCGUUACCGACAGAAUAGGCACUGGCCAACUUCGUGCAAGCAGUCGCGGUACUACGAAGGGUGCAAGCGUUAAUCGGAAUUACUGGGCGUAAAGCGCGCGUAGGUGGUUUGUUAAGUUGGAAGUGAAAGCCCCGGGCUCAACCUGGGAACUGCUUUCAAAACUGGCAAGCUAGAGUAUGGCAGAGGGUGGUGGAAUUUCCUGUGUAGCGGUGAAAUGCGUAGAUAUAGGAAGGAACACCAGUGGCGAAGGCGACCACCUGGGCUAAUACUGACACUGAUGCACGAAAGCGUGGGGAGCAAACA
rnacentral:rRNA from 1 species